GACGAACGCUGGCGGCGUGCUUAACACAUGCAAGUCGAACGAUGAAACCUAGCUUGCUAGGUCGAUUAGUGGCGAACGGGUGAGUAACACGUGACUAACCUGCCCCUUUCUCUGGGAUAACGCUCCGAAAGGAGUGCUAAUACCGGAUACUCACACCUAGGCACAUGCCUUGGUGUGGAAAGUUUUUCGGAAAGGGAUGGAGUCGCGGCCUAUCAGCUUGUUGGUGAGGUAACGGCUCACCAAGGCGACGACGGGUAGCCGGCCUGAGAGGGCGACCGGCCACACUGGGACUGAGACACGGCCCAGACUCCUACGGGAGGCAGCAGUGGGGAAUAUUGCACAAUGGGCGCAAGCCUGAUGCAGCGGCGCCGCGUGAGGGAUGAAGGUCUUCGGAUUGUAAACCUCUUUCAGUAGGGACGAAGCGAAAGUGACGGUACCUAAAGAAGAAGCACCGGCUAACUACGUGCCAGCCGCCGCAGUAAAAC
rnacentral:rRNA from 1 species